UACGUAGGGUGCGAGCGUUGUCCGGAAUUACUGGGCGUAAAGAGCUCGUAGGUGGUUUGUCGCGUUGUUCGUGAAAACUCACAGCUUAACUGUGGGCGUGCGGGCGAUACGGGCAGACUGGAGUACUGCGAGGGGAGACUGGAAUUCCUGGUGUAGCGGUGAAAUGCGCAGAUAUCAGGAGGAACACCGGUGGCGAAGGCGGUUCUCUGGGCAUUACCUGACGCUGAGGAGCGAAAGUGUGGGGAGCGAACAGG
rnacentral:rRNA from 1 species